UAAGAACACCUUAGGCGAGAACAUUGCCGACAACGGUGGAUUGCACCUGGCUUUCGAGGCGUACAAAAGGCUUCUGCAAGUGGAAUACAAGAACGUGGACACUCGUCUGAAGGACCUGGAAGAGUUCUCCGGCGAGCAACUGUUCUUCAUCGCAAACGCUAUGAUAAUGUGCAGCCUGAGUCGUCCCGAGUCCCUGAAGGAGCAAAUACAGUACGACCCACACAGUCCAAGUCAAUACGGCAUCAACGUACCGCUGUCAAACUUGCCCGCCUUCUCCGACACGUUCAACUGUUCGGCGAAUUCCGCUAUGAACCGACAACACCGGUGCGCCAUCUGGUGAGGCUUUCGCCGCCAGGGAAGAGAAAGCAACGCUGUGACGUCGAAAUCGCCUGAAUCAUUCACGUGUUUCACUCGAUAAAUAUGCGCCGAUUGUGAAAAAAUCUCUUAAUAAAGAAUACUGGAAACUCU